rnacentral:lncRNA from 1 species
GAGACACGCCCUUCAGUCUUCUUCUCAUGGAGAAACUGAACUCGGAUGGGAAUGUCUUCAAGGGUUGGAUUUGAGCUGAGGGUAGAGCUUGUGUUGUGCGGAAGCUACAGCUCAUGUUCUGGUGAACCUGGCUCUGAUACCAUAUGAUUUUUAAAGAGAUCUCUACUCUGGUAGUAUGUGUGUGUGUAUAAGCUUCAAUGAAGAAUGAUUAGAGCUUGUUCUAGGUGAUAUAGAGAGAGAGAUUGGUGAGAGUGUUUAUGAGUGUAUGAGAGACUUUAAGGACAGAGAUUAAGAGACUUAAGAG